AGUGAACGCUGGCGGUAGGCCUAACACAUGCAAGUCGAACGGCAGCACAGUAAGAGCUUGCUCUUACGGGUGGCGAGUGGCGGACGGGUGAGGAAUACAUCGGAAUCUACUUUUUCGUGGGGGAUAACGAAGGGAAACUUAUGCUAAUACCGCAUACGACCUACGGGUGAAAGCAGGGGAUCUUCGGACCUUGCGCGAUUGAAUGAGCCGAUGUCGGAUUAGCUAGUUGGCGGGGUAAAGGCCCACCAAGGCGACGAUCCGUAGCUGGUCUGAGAGGAUGGUCGGCCACACUGGAACUGAGACACGGUCCAGAGUCCUACGGGAGGCAGCAGUGGGGAAUAUUGGACAGUGGGGGCAAGCCUGAUCCAGCCAUACCGCGUGGGUGAAGAAGGCCUUCGGGUUGUAAAGCCGUUUUGUUGGGAAAGAAAAGCAGCAGGUUAAUACCCCGCUGUUCUGACGGUACCCAAAGAAUAAGCACCGGCUAACUUCGUG
rnacentral:rRNA from 1 species